UCGCGCGGUAUCACGCCGAAAGGUAUUACCGUGAGGAAAGUCCGGGCAUCAGAGGGCAGGAUAACGGAUAACGUCCGCCGAGGGUAACCUCCGGGAAAGUGCAACAGAAAUAAACCGCCCCGUGAAUUCAACCGUUUCAGCUUUGCUGGUUCGGUGGUUUACUCCGAUGGGUUCCCCGAAGCAACUUGUUGCUUUGGGGGGUCACUCCGAGGGGUUCCCCGAAACAACUCCGUUGUUUUGGGGGUUCACGAGGCAAGGAUGGAAAGGCGAGGUAAGAGCUCACCGGCAUUGUGGCAACACCGUGCAAAUGUAAACCCUAUCCGAUGCAACACCGUAAGGAGAAGAUCUGCCCGAUCGCCGAAAGGAUCCUUUGGGUGGCACAGAGCUGCGCGGCGACGCGCAGACAAGACAGAUGACCGUUUGAUACAGAACCCGGCUUACGAA
rnacentral:RNase_P_RNA from 1 species